rnacentral:pre_miRNA from 1 species
GUCUUCUGAAUCCGUGCUGUGAUUUCGUCAAACACCAACACAAUAGAGCUCAUGACACUUACAAGAUAAGUGAAGAG